AACCCGAGGAAACUCGGGCGUAAUACCGGACUGUGGUACGGAGACAUAAGUCUCUUACUAAGUAGCUUCGGCUUCCGCAUUGGGAGGGGCCCGCGGCCCAUUAGGCUAGUUCGGUGGGGUCAAGGCCUACCAAGGCAACGAUGGGUAGCUGGUCUGAGAGGACGAUCAGCCACACUGGGACUGAGACACGGCCCAGACUCCUACGGGAGGCAGCAGUGGGGAAUCUUGCGCAAUGCGCGAAAGCGUGACGCAGCAACACCGCGUGAGGGAAGACGGCCUUAGGGUUGUAAACCUCUUUCAGAUGGGACGAAGGUGAUGCGGUGAAUAGCCGAUGUCAUUGACGGUACCGUCAGAAGAAGCUCCGGCUAACUACGUG
rnacentral:rRNA from 1 species